AAAUUACUUUUGGGGGGUUUGUCUUCUGUUUGACUGCAUAGUAUCAUCCAGUUUCAUGGGCAUAAGCUCUUCUUUUCCAUAUAUUUUUUGUUUGUUCAUUUUUAUUUUAUUUUUGUUGGUUAUUAUUGAAUUAUUCUUUUGACAUCUCAAAUGUAAAUUUGUUCCUUUUGUUUACAAUGUAAAACUUGGUUAAUUUCUUUAGGGGAAGAUGUAUAUUCUUCUUCUUGGAACAACAGCACUGAGUCUGGUAACAACUCCUGUCCUGUUCAAGUUGAUACCUGCUAUGAUGCACUUGGGUGCUCUCAUGCACUGGUUUCCCGCAGAGAAUAGCACACAGAAUGAGGAGAAAGCUUCCAUGAUUGAAGCUAACAGAUUGUUGUGACCUUUGAAGUGUUUGUCGGGUGGAAUCUAAGGCUUCGAUUACAUAUCAGAAUUUUUUAAGAUUAGAUGGUUGUCUCAGUCAAUUUCAUCACCAAAAACUACAGUUACACAUCAGUACUUGCCGUUCCCCUGGAGUUUGUGUACAUGUAUAGUACAUCACAUUAUAUUUUUAAAAUACUGUAUAUAUGAUUUUUUUUUUUUUUCUCUCGUGUCAGUAGCUUACGCAUGUUGUAACAUGAAUUCCAUACAAAUGGUUACAAAUUCCUCCAUAUACUCAUUUAUCUUCUUCUCUUUUUGAUGAAUGAAUCUACGUAAGGUAUAUCUUGAUUCCUUUCUUGAA